UGGGGAAUAUUGGACAAUGGGCGCAAGCCUGAUCCAGCCAUGCCGCGUGAAUGAUGAAGGCCUUAGGGUUGUAAAGUUCUUUCGGCGGGGACGAUGAUGACGGUACCCGCAGAAGAAGCCCCGGCUAACUUCGUGCCAGCAGCCGCGGUAAUACGAAGGGGGCUAGCGUUGUUCGGAAUUACUGGGCGUAAAGCGCACGCAGGCGGCCUGUUUAGUUAGAAGUGAAAGCCCGGGGCUCAACCCCGGAACUGCUUUUAAUACUGGCAGGCUAGAAUCCGUGAGAGGGUAGUGGAAUUCCGAGUGUAGAGGUGAAAUUCGUAGAUAUUCGGAAGAACACCAGUGGCGAAGGCGACUACCUGGCACGGCAUUGACGCUCAUGUGCGAAAGCGUGGGGAGCAAA
rnacentral:rRNA from 1 species